rnacentral:rRNA from 1 species
CCCUUAGACGUUCUGGGCCGCACGCGCGCUACACUGACCAGUGCAACAAGCAUCCGUCCUUGGCCGACAGGCCCGGGCAAUCUUUGAACGCUGGUCGUGAUGGGGAUAGACUUUUGCAAUUUUUGGUCUUCAACGAGGAAUUCCUAGUAAACGCAAGUCAUCAACUUGCAUUGAUUACGUCCCUGCCCUUUGUACACACCGCCCGUCGCUCCUACCGAUUGAAUGGUCCGGUGAAGCCUCCGGAUUGGCGCGCACCUCGGUGCCGCCGAGAAGUUGGCUAAACCUUACCAUUUAGAGGAAGGUGAAGUCGUAACA